CAAGAAGCUCCUGAAAACUCUGCAGAGAACACUUCCUCCGAUAACACCUUCAACUCCUAACCUCUAACAUGCACUUCCUGUGCUCUUCUUCUUCUAUCCCCUUACAAUUCUCUCGUUUUGACUGCACUUUUUGUCAACUCUUCUUUCCCCUUGGUAUUUACCCCAUUGAUGUGAUAUGUGCUAUGAGCUCUUACUAGUAUGUAUUGGUGCUCUUACUAGUAUGUAUUGUCAGUUGUAGAUCUGUAGUUGCUGCUCUUUUGAUGCUUGGAUGUUGUUCCUCAAAUGUAAGUCACUUUGGAUAAAAUGAGUAAAUGUCUUUCUCACCUUCAACAAGCCUCUCGCACUGUUUACUGACUGUUACAAACCAUUGAAAUCAUUACUGAACUGUUUGUGACGUCAGCAGAGAAGAGGUGUACUACAUCUGGAUUUCAGAAUUAAGUGAGUCCUGCAGACAUCCAGCAGCAAAGAAGAGGUUCCCCCUGAACAGCAGGAUUAGAACCCUAGUCUGGACCAGGAGGACCCAGAGCUCCCAGACAUUAAAGCGGAGUGGAGCCCCAGUCUGGACCAGGAGGACCCACCAGAGCCCCCACACUUUCAAGAGGAACGAGAGGAUCUUUGGACAGUCAGGAGGGAGAGCAGCUUCCAGGACUGUAGGAGGCUGAUGUCACGACGUUCCCAUUCACUCCUGUCCCUGUGAAGAAUGAUGAUGAUGAAGAGAAACCUCCUCACAGCUUCAUCAAAACCAAACUCAGCUGAUGGAGGACCAGAACCAGCCAGGAACUCUGAUCCAGAUAGACUGAUCUAGACAUUUACAACCUGAGACGGAAGACAAGACUGAAGACUCUGAGUUGAAUGUCAGGGAAGAGACCAGAGAACAUCAGUCAAGUUUAAAAUCAUUUAGUUGCUCAGACUGUGGGAGAAGAUUUAGUCAAAAAGGAAUAUCUGAUCAUAAACAGGAGAGAAACCUCAAUUUGCUGCAAAAGCUUCAACCAGAAGGACUUGUGGGAGAAAUGUAUGGAUAUGAAAAUUUUUUAUUUAGAUAAAGGACUGUUUUGAAUGUA